UUGAGUUCAGCGGGUAGUCCUACCUGAUUUGAGGUCAAAUUUGAUGAAGGGUUUGUCCGAAGACCAUUAUAAGCGGACUUUGGUGGCCGACGACAGCGCAACAUUGAUUAUCACACUGACAUACGGACACCGAAGGUUCAAUUCCGCCGAUGCAUUUGAGAGGAGCCGACCGCAGGCCAGCAAAACCUCCAGAAGUCCAA
rnacentral:misc_RNA from 1 species